rnacentral:tRNA from 1 species
GAGCGUGUGGCCUAGUCAGGAUAUGGCGGCAGCCUCCUAAGCUGCAAGUCGAGGGUUCAAAUCCCUUCACGCUCGCCA